rnacentral:pre_miRNA from 1 species
AGGAGGAGCGCAGGAUCCUGGGCUGUGUCCCCAGCGCCCUGGGCUCUGGGGCCUGUGCUGCUGGAAUCAUGCUCCCAGGGGCGCAGCUCCCA